ACGUUUUAAAGCCCAUAAGGGCCCCUUAAGCCCAGAAUAGAUAAUAUCUACACUGUUAGUAGCGGGUCGUUAUAGCUUGUAUUCAAACUUUGUCACAUUGUCAAUUGCAUCUCUAUGGUUGCAGACUUGUAGUAUAUUUGCCUACAUUUGUCAAGUACUAAUCAUAAAUUCAUAACACUCAAGACUUAAUCCAACUGACAUGUUUUUUUUUUUUUUACUAAAUGUAACCUGUUGUCAUUCACUACCAUAGGUUGGCCACAAAAUUUCAAACUUUCCAUUCUUUAGGGCCUAUGUUUGUCAAUUCUUGGUUCAAACCCAAUCAUCUUUGGUACUCAUUUAUGGUUUCUGUUUCUAGGUUCUCACGAUCGAGUGCAUUGAUUGUUACUUCUUUCUUUCUUUUUUUAUUUCUUUUUUUGGUUCUUACCUCUAGUCCAUCUUCUCACAUCAUGUUCUCCUUGCUGCUGAACAUUUUCUUUCUUGAUUACCCAUCAUUCUGUACCUUAAGGCAUAAUAAGUCUCCUAGCUACCUUAAGAAAUUUGUGUAACAAUAUGCAUCAAUCAAACAACAUCCUAGAAUCAUCUCUCCAUUCAUGUUAGGAUUCAUGCUUUAGUCCAUUUAUAAAUUUGAAAUAAGACAAUUAAGAAUGAAAUUGAAGAUAAUUAUCCAAGACUUUCUCAGUAAAUUGGAAUAUCAAAAAGGACGUCCAAUAGAUUUUAGGUAGUUGAUAAAUGUUUUCUUGAAUUUUGUUGUAUUUAAAAUAUUUCUUCUCAAUAUUGAUAGAUUUUUUAAGGUGAAUCAAGCACACGUUUCUCUUUUUGGGUAAGCUUAUUCAACUAUAUGAUUUGUAACUAAAAUCCCGACUGACAUUGGACUCAUCAAGAGCAUUGAUUUUUCAAGCAAUAAAUUAAUUGGUGAAAUUCCUAUUGAAGUAACUUAUUUGGUAGAAUUGGUGUCAUUUAAUUUAUCAAGAAACAAUUUGACUGGAUCAAUCCCUACAACAAUUGGUCAAUUGAAAUUAUUGGAUUUUCUUGAUCUAUCUCAAAACCAACUUAAUGGUAGAAUUCCGGAUAAUCUUUCUCAAAUAGCCGAUCUAAGUGUUUUAGACCUAUCAAAUAACACCUUGUCAGGUAAAAUUCCAUUAGGCACUCAAUUACAAAGCUUUGAUGCCUCCACAUAUGAGGGAAAUCCUGGACUUUGUGGACCACCUCUUUUGAAAAGGUGUCCUGAAGAUCAACUUGGGGGAGUCUCCUCCACUAGUGGUCUUAGUAGUAAAAAAGAGGUCGACAUUCAAGAUGAUGCAAAUAAUAUAUGGUUUUAUGGAAAUAUUGUUCUUGGAUUCAUCAUCGGAUUUUGGGGAGUUUGCGGCACUUUACUAUUCAAUAGUUCAUGGAGAUAUGCCUAUUUCCAGUUGUUGAGCAAGAUAAAGGAUUGGUUGUACGUGACAACAAUAGUAAAUAUGAAUAGAAUACGAAGGAGCCUGCAAGGUUAAAUGGACUUCAGCUGGGUUGCAUCUCAAGGAUUAGUAGGUGAUAUAUGCUUUUGAGUAACGGGAGUAUUUAUGAUGGGAUAGUUACAUGCCUUAAUGCAAAAGCUUGCCAUCGGAUAAAUGACAUCGGCAUGUAUUAAGUUUGCUUAUUUGGUAGUUAGCAUGACUUUAAGUUUCUCGUGUUAUAUUCUAUUUAGAACUUUUUAAACAUUAAUUGUUGCUAUUAUAUGUUCGACUUUGUAUUUUUUGCUCUCAAAUUUAUUUGUUAUUUUUGUAGAAUCAAAUAUUAGAGACCUUUGUAGGGGAUGCUAAAAAAGACUUCGUCUUAGAAAAAUAUUUUUUUUUUUGCUCAAAAACAAGUUUAUUUUUUGGGAAAUGCAAUGUGAUAAUACCCAUUAGUAUGGAAUGGGAUAUGCUACUACUCAAAACAGAGCACUCUGUUUUUCUGGUUCUCAAUCAUGAAAGCUCCUGUAACACAGAGAGGUCUGAUUUCCAACCGUGAAUCAAAUUGCUUGAGGUACUCCAUAUGCAAAUUGAUGGAAGUCACUUUGGGCAUCAAUCAUCUUCAAGGAACGAUGAUGAUGGGAAUUGGUCAGCGGCGGUAAAGACCAACUAUGGAAAGUUUGUUAAAAAGUUCCCAUUUCUUUAUUUUGGUUUCUGCUUUUGUAAAUAACAGUGUUAUCUAAAAUUUGUGUUGGUUGCUCAAGUUUUGUAAGAGCUAUUCAACCAAUACGAAUCGUUACAUAAUAUGCAUUUUGCAGAAGAUCUGUGAUGAUUUGGAGCUCUCUCCAAUGCUAUACUAGGUUAGAAUUGAAACAAGCAUCUUAUUUAGGAAUAGUUAACAACGACAAAGAAAUGCAAUUUAUAUGUGUUUUUUGUUCCACUGAAUUUUGCAGUAAUCAACUUAUGGAAGAGCUAGAGCUAUUGGAGAAGAAAGUGCUCUUCAUGUUUGCUCAAACAAUUCAGAGGGAAGUUUAGUGAGACAAUUUUUAACUUUAUUUCCAUUUACUCUUUGUCAUGAGAGCAAUUUUUUGUGCAUAAUUGGAGCUUGAGUUUUUGCUUUGGUAGUUGUGAAGUUGCAAACUGUUAUUGGAAUAAGAAGCCUCUACUUUUGCUUGUUACUGAAUAUGAUUUUUUUUUUUAAGAAGUAAAUUUGCUAAUUAUUGUUCUUUUUCUUAGGCACCCAAGAAAAGAGUAUGUACCGUUAGCAAAGACCAAGAGGAAAUUAUUAAAGCUUUAUUUGAGCAGUUUAAAGACCAUAAAAGGUGCACCUACAUGAUUGUAAGUGCUCUAGAUGGUGAUGAUACGUUCACAGCUGCCCAAGUUUCCCAUAAACUUAAGCAACAAUUAGCUUAUGUUCCUCAUCAGAAAAGAGCUGAAGACAACAUGCAUUUGAGAGAUAAAGAUCUUAAUGGAUGUGAUAUAGCCAAAGCACAGUAUUCCAACAAUGAAACGUUGUUUUCCCUAAGAAAAAGGUAACUAUAUUUUUAUGAAUUUCAUGCAAUUUUGUGAAUUAAUCUUAUUUGUGUGAUAUCCCACAUUGAAUGGGGGGAA